rnacentral:rRNA from 1 species
UUGCGGUCGUACUCCCCAGGCGGUGUGCUUAAUGCUUUCGCUGCGACACUGAAAACUAAGUUCCCAACGUCUAGCACACAUCGUUACGGCAUGGACUACGAGGGUAUCUAAUCCUCUUCGCUACCCAUGCUUUCGUUCCUCAGUGUCAGUAAUGAUCCAGAAAGUUGCCUUCGCUUUUGAUGUUCUUUCUAAUAUCUACGAAUUUCACCUCUACACUAGAAAUUCCACUUUCCUCUAUCAUACUCUAGCUAAAAAGUUUUGAUGGCAGUUCCAAGGUUGAGCCUUGGGAUUUCACCAUCAACUUUUUUAACCACCUACGAACUCUUUAAGCCCAGUAAUUCCGAACUACGCUAGGUCCCUUCGUAUUACCGCGGCUGCUGGCACGAAGUUAGCCGGACCUUCUUAUUCGGGUACAGUCAUUUUCUUCCCCGACGAAAGAGUUUUACAACCCAAAGGCCUUCUUCACUCACGCGGCAUCGCUGCAUCAGGGUUUCCCCCAUUGUGCAAGAUUCCCCACUGCUGCCUCCCGUAGGAGUUUGGGCCGUGUCUCAGUCCCAAUGUGGCUGGUCUUCCUCAAAGAACAGCUAUUGAUCGUAGCCUUGGUAAGCUAUUACCUUACCAACUAGCUAAUCAAGUGCGGGCUCAUCUUUUGGCAUUAAAACUUUCCCUGUGAAGGCUUAUCCGGUAUUAGCACAAGUUUCCUCGUGUUAUUCCAGACCAAAAGGCAGAUUCCCACAUUAUACUCACCCGUUUGCCACUCAGUAUUGCUACUGCGUUCGACUUGCAUGUGUUAGGCGUGCCGCCAGCGUACGUUCUGAGCCAGGAUCAAACUCU